rnacentral:rRNA from 1 species
UACGUAGGGGGCUAGCGUUGUCCGGAAUCAUUGGGCGUAAAGCGCGUGUAGGCGGUCCGGUAAGUCCGCUGUGAAAGUCGGGGGCUCAACCCUCGGAUGCCGGUGGAUACUGUCGGGCUUGAGGUACGGAAGAGGCGAGUGGAAUUCCUGGUGUAGCGGUGAAAUGCGGCAGAGUAUCAAGGAGGAACACCAAUUGACGCA